UAAGUCUGAAUAUUUUCUGGCCCACGCAAAACUUGGCUUUUGGGCGUACGUACACUUUUAGUGACGAUCCCACGCACAUUUUUAUAAAUGAGACCACAGGAGAGGAACGUCCAGGUCUGGUUGGGAAUCACUGUUUGAGAAUACCCCAGUGCCGGGUUGAAGCCAAUCCCCGAUGGCAGGAAGCCCGCAACCUGUAAUACUGAACUGUGCCUGAGAUGAGGAGGCCUUUACCAAUUAUGCCCUCACACUGCUCUCAAGAGCUGGCAGCAGCCAGCGCUGCAGACACCUCUGUCUGCCAGGCAAUAGCUGGGAUGUGAUGAUGAUGCCUAUGGAGUGAAUCCAGAGGCAUGAAAUGGAAAGAGAGUGAGAGAGAGAGGAUAAACUCACUUCCCCCGUUGCCAUGGCAACAUAACUGAUUUUCAUUCCAACAUCAUCUCUGAGAGCGAGGAUACAGAAGUCUAUUCCGCUCUGGAAGCAGCAUUGAGAGAGGGAUGAAUAAGAAGAAAGAGCAAAGACAGAAGAUGACCACACCACCGUGUGGCUGGAUAAAUAAAUCAUUCCCACUAGGCUAGCCUAAAGACCGGAUUUAAUCACAGUACACUUGUUAAAGGCUAUUCUAUUAAAUAUCCUUUGUUUUAUUUUAUUUUUGUUUAUUUUAAUUUGAAAGGGUUUUAUCAACAUUAAAUGUCUGCCCCUUGAAUAACCUAUUGUACUCCUAGCCAUCUCUAGAGAUUGGGCAUCCCUCUUUCAAGAUGGUUUGGGUUGAGGAGUUUGAAGGUGUACAAGUGAGCAAGUAGAGUUCUGAGCACACCCAGAUAUAUUCAGUUUUGUGUUUUGAACUGAUUAUCUGUCUGGCCUGAAUAGAUAGCAAUUGAUUUCACAGCUUUGCGUUGGUGAAACAAAUCCCAGCCAAUCAGAAUCCACAACUAUGUUUGCUCGUGCUCUCCUCACUCUGGAGAAAUUCGGUUAAAAGUCACGCAAACCUUAUCCUCCUCUGAGAGAAGCUUCCGGCCCAGGUUUUGGUUCAUCUUUUAACAUCAUUCUUCAUUCUGUUUGGGAUCAAACUGUUUUGAUUGCUCUUCCGGUUCCUCCACUUUCCUCAAGCAUCGCCAUUGUCUUUUAAAUUCCACAGAUCACCAAUUGUUAAUUUCUGGGAGAGGCUUUUAUCCUGUACUGGGCCAGACUGCAGAUAGAAAGUGUGAACUUCUGAGCUAAGAGAUAUGAGAUAGUGAAUGUGAACUUGUGAGCUAAGACAUAUGAGAUAGUGAAUGUGAACUUGUGAGCUCAGGAUGGGCUCAAGAGGGAAGUGAAUCAGGGCUGUACAAAUACAAUUGAGUUGACACAGAAUUGUUUUCAACCCAGCAGUGGCAUCACAGUGGGCCUGGUACCGGUCUCUGUGCCAGAUGAUCAGCCCGAGAGGAGCAGCAUGCCAUCACAUCUGCCGGGUCCCGGCAGAAAAAUGGAGGCAAAGUUGCCUCCAUUUUUGCUUGCCAACAUUCUGUUAGCUAAAAUAACCCUGGUGAUUCAUAACCUAAUAGCACUUAAUAAUGUAUGAAAUAUUAAGAAAAAAACAUCAAAUGUUUGUCCUUCAAACGUAUUUUGUGUGGAUGUCCUCACAUCACUGACCAGCUGAAAUAUGUUUGGGGAAUUUCCAGACGGAAGAAGUUGAU
ensembl:lncRNA